GAUGAACGCUGGCGGCGUGCCUAAUACAUGCAAGUCGAACGAACAGACGAGGAGCUUGCUCCUCUGACUUUAGCGGCGGACGGGUGAGUAGCAGGUGGAUAACCUACCUAUAAGACUGGGAUAACUUCGGGAAGCAGGAGCUAAUACCGGGGAAUAUAUUGCACCACAAGGUUCCAAUGUUGAAGACGGUGUUGCUAUAAAUUCUAGAGGUAUACGCGCCACAUUAGCUAGUUGGUAAGGUAACGGCGUACACAGGCAACGAUGAGUACCGGACCUGAGAGGGUGAUCGGCCAGACUGGAAGUGAGACACGGCGCAGACUCCUACGGGAGGCAGCAGUAGGGAAUCCUACGGAAAGGGGGAAAGGCUGACGGAGCAACGUCGAGUGAGUGAUGAAGGUCUUCGGAUGGUAAAAUUCUGUUAUUAGGGAAGAACAAAUGUGUAAGUAACUAUGCACGUCUUGACGGUACCUAACCAGAAAGCCACGGCUAACUACGUG
rnacentral:rRNA from 1 species